rnacentral:misc_RNA from 1 species
UUCUUCUUCAAAACGCCGCCAUUUUCUCUCCCAAGACCUUCUUCACCCACCCAUCAAGAUCAUCACUUGUUCUGCUAAGAGAGACCAAGUUGAUUUCUUUUGUUCUAUGCCAUUGAAGGAGCUUCAAACUGUGGCUUGUCUUGCUGCUUGGGCUGUCACUACUGCUUCACCUGUAAUUGCUGCUAGCCAGAGGCUGCCCCCACUUUCAACUGAGCCCAACCGUUGUGAAAAGGCAUUUGUUGGGAACACAAUAGGUCAGGCAAAUGGUGUUUAUGACAA